CCUCCAGGUGGUGAAUGUUCCCAUGAUCCUCUCCUGCUUCUCUCGAGACUCCUUUGCUGUCCACCCUAUUCAUCUCCUUGUUCGCCCGCCGGAGGUGAGACCGGACCAGUUCUGCAACCGUCCAGCUUUUAGUUCCUUUUUAUUACAGAUCAUCCAGCACACACUCCGGCCCGUGAUGCAGUGUGAUGGUCUGAUGACUUUCAUCGCUGAGACAAGUCACAACACGGCCCCACGAAGCGAAGCCAGUGGGAUGGACUUCAGCAGCAGGAUAUAGAGCAGCUUCACGCCGCCACCGCCCCGUCGCCUGCAGCCCGUGUUCUCGGAAUCCCGAGGG